UGCCCGCCUGGACGCUGCAGGACCCUCGGUGUGUGCACAUGCCACGGUGUGCUCACAGGGCCACGCAGGGGGCUGGACACGCUCGGACAUGCAGGCGUGGGUUCCCGGGCUCCCAGGCUCCUGUUUCCCGCUGCGGACUUGCUAGCCGGGCUCCUUGCCCUGAAUGCAGGGCCAGGUGGGCGUCGGCACCGUGGGCAGGUGCUGCUGGGCCCCACAACUCUGACAGCACGUCCGACACCCGACAAAUGCAUGUGGUGUGACCACCAGGCACCACGGUCAGCAGCCCCGCCUCUCCCUCCUCUGCAGACAGGCCGGCAGCACUGGACACCGAGCAGGAUCCCCCAACACUGACCUCAGGACCUGUGCCAAGCUCUGCACCCCCACCCUGUCCACAUCUGCAGGAAUCACGCAGCACAGCAGAGGGAAGGGUGAGGAGGCUCAGGGAACAGAGGCAUGAAGGACAGAGCUGGAAACGCAGAAGGGGACUGUGCACACACCACCUGGCACUCAGCCUGGAGCACAGACAGCCUCCUUCAUGGGCACCGUGGGUUCAGAGUGAGGCUGCGGAGACCAGGGCCCGGGCCAGAGGUGGUGGGUGUGGACCCCUGCGAGGGGCGUGACAGUGACUCUGGCUGGGCCCUUGGUCUGGCCUCCUGUGGCCUGAGCCAGGCUGCACCCAGGGGAGAAAAUGAGGCACGAGAUUUGGGAGAACCAGCACUGGGACACCCUGACCCUGCACCCUGCCAGCCACGGGAAGCCAAGAGCCACUGCAGCGAGGGUGGGCGGGGUGGAGAGCCCAGCAGGCUGCCCUUCCCAGAGGGAGGCCUCCAUGCCCGCCCCGGCUCUGCUAAACCCACACUGGUGCCGAGCCAGUUCUGGGCCCUCUCAUGGCUGUGCAUGGCACACAGGUGGACAUGCCAGGUCUUCGUAGACGUUUAUGGGUGCGGCUGUGACUCCGCAGUCCAGCCUGGGAAGGGCCCCGAUGGCACUCUUUCUCUGCAGUCGCAGGAAGGGGGGACCUGCCAGGAGUUAGACCUGCCGUGGAAGGCAGCCAGCACCAACGGGGUCCUGCAGCCCUGGGCAAACCUAGUCUCCAGGGGAUGA
rnacentral:lncRNA from 12 species